AUCACUUCUUGCCCUUCUGGUUAAGAUCAAGUAUAGUAUCUGUUCUUAACAGUUUAAAAUAAAACCAAAACAAAUGUUAGAAACACAAGGAGAGAGAGAAAAGUUCACUAUCC
rnacentral:snRNA from 1 species